GAUGAACGCUGGCGGCGUGCCUAAUACAUGCAAGUCGAGCGAACAGACGAGGAGCUUGUUCCUCUGACGUUAGCGGCGGACGGGUGAGUAACACGUGGAUAACCUACCUAUAAGACUGGGAUAACAUCGGGAAACCGGUGCUAAUACCGCAUAAUAACUUGAACCACAAGGUUCAAUAUUGAAAGAUGGUUUUGCAUCAACCAAAAGAUGGAUCCCGGCGUCAUAGGCAAGUUGGGAAGGUAACGGCUUACCAAGGCAACGAACAGAAGCCGCCCGGGGAGGGUGAUCGCCCACAUGGGAACGGAAACACGGUCCAGACUCCUACGGGAGGCAGCAGUGGGGAAUCUUCGGCAAUGGGGGAAGGCCUGACGGAGCAACGCCGCGUGAGGGAUGAAGGUUUCCGGAUCGUAAAACUCUGUUAUUAGGGAAGAACAAAUGUGUAAGUAACUAUGCACGUCUUGACGGUACCUAAUCAGAAAGCCACGGCUAACUACGUG
rnacentral:rRNA from 1 species